ensembl:lncRNA
GCAAGCUACAGCUAUACAGGUACAAAAGAUUGUCAGAACCUUCGUACAUUUUAGCAGUCAUGUGUACUGAUAUAUAACUGACCCUGUUUUUCCAACAUCCGUGCAGUAUGUCGGCGCCUGUCGUGUUACGUCAAGACAUGAAUGACUGGCAGAGGUGGCAUAUAGGCCUACAGUAUAGCGUGUAACAACGUGUAAUAGCAUUCAAGUGAAUGUAUUACCCUUCUGAUCAUCGGUGGUGAUUGGAGUCGCCAUCGCUUUCAAUAUAUCUACGGUGUCGGUGAUGCCGAGUCCACAGUCCCACAAUUCAAAGUCAGAGGUUUGCGUCCCAGCACAGCAUUGUCUCGAAAUAUUGGCUGAUUCCUGAGCCGCUUUUGUUAGUGUGUUCUUAGAUAUUUUUAAUAUUCCGUUUUAACUUCCUUCAUUUCUUCCUUCAUUGUUUUCAAAAUGCCUUUUCGUUUUUAGUCGAUAAUCCAAUUGCCACCAGAUUUUGGAGUCAGCCCAGAUGCUCAAUAACACUCUGAUAUCUCCAGAUGACCAUGAUAAAGGUUCCAUUUUAAGAAUGUAAAUGUUUUGUAGUGUUGCUACCGUUUGUAAGUAUUUUUUUUUGUUUCCAACGGCCAAGGAAAACGUAAUAUCAGCAAACUAUGACGCCAUACCUCAGACCAAGCAUUGCGGUUUGCCGUCUGUAAUCCCACCCACCCGACUGGUUUGUUCUUGGAUGUCUAGCCUUCAAUCAACCAGGAUGUCUAGCCUUCAAUCAACCAGGAUGUCUUUCAACCAGGAUGUCUAGCCUUCAAUCAACCAGGAUGUCUACCCUUCAAUCAACCAGGAUGUCUAGCCUUCAAUCAACCAGGAUGUCUAGCCUUCAAUCAACCAGUAUGUCUAGCCUUCAAUCAACCAGGAUGUCUAGCCUUCAAUCAACCAGGAUGUCUAGCCUUCAAUCAACCAGUAUGUCUAGCCUUCAAUCAACCAGGAUGUCUAGCCUUCAAUCAACCAGGAUGUCUUGCCUUCAAUCGACCAGGAUGUCAAGCCUGGAAUCAACCAGGAUGUCUAGCCUGGUAUCCUCAGUGCCGUAACGAACGCUGUCUCCGGACUAAUACCUUGAUUAAGCUCUCAAGCACUAAAUCCUCCACAAAGCGUCGUUACAGUGCGACAAGGCAAGGCAAACCCCCCCCCCUCCCCCCACCCCGGAUGGUGUUCACCAAUUGCACUUCCCUCCGUGGGACCCCUGGGCUAAGCCGAGAGACGGAUUCAUUUCACUUUCAUUUUAAUUAGAGCAAUUGUCUGCACCAUAUGGCCCAGAUUUAGGCUACAUCAUUUAAAAUGAAUAAUUUUACUGUGUGUGGGCUAGAGGUGGGUCACACCUUACACAUCUUAUCGAUGCACAGUUGGCCAGCCUUAGGCCGUGGACCUAGCUGCACUCUGGGCCAGCAAAACGCAAAAUAUAUGGCCCACAGCUGGUCCAAAACAUGUUUUCUAUCUGGGAAAGCUUAUGAGACCGCUGACACCGCUGACGCCCUGGCAGAUGACAUGGGAUGUUACGGGUCUAAAACCACGCGACUCAUUCUGUUCUUGCAAGGCUUCUUAAAGGCAAAUAUAUUGCUAUGGGAGCAGAACACUUACAGGAAUUAUGUAAUGAAUUAGAAAACAUAGCUAAAGGCUUAUUACCUCAGAGAAGAUCAGCACAUUCAGAAUUUGUAGUCUCUUCAGGGUUCUUGGUCUGACCGAAGGGUGACAGGUUGAGGCUUCACUAUUACCUGGGUCUUUUUUCAUUUCUUCCACAGUGUUGAGCUGCUGUUGUGGGACCUUCAAGCAUCUGUAUGUCUACAAACACACUGCUACAGGGGACAGAGUGCCACCUAUUGGUCCCCAAAUGCAACUGUACUCACUCCCCUCACCUCCCUGUUCCCUGCUUCUCCUUUACAUUCUGUUGUCACUCAGGACAAGAGGAUGUUCCAAAAGCACCAUAUUUAUAGCACCAACAUGCACUGAAAUAAAAUAUAAUAAUUGCGGUGGGACAUAUUUAAAAACCAUGUACAUAAAAGGCACCAGUAAUGUAUGCAAGUUUAAACUAAACAGUAAACCUGUUGUAGUAAAUGCAGAAUAUGUCAAAUCUGUGGUUAGAUCUCUGCUCUUUUGAGCAAAUCUCAAUACAAGUGAAAACCUACAUUUUAAAACUGUAUCGCUAUACUACAUUAUUAUCUAUAGAACAUGUGGUCACAUAGCGCCAGCCCGCUAGACAAAUCAUUAAAACCAUGUCAAGUAGAUAUCCCAGAGAGCCUAAUAAAGAAGUAUGAUUAAAAUUCAAGAAUGGAUGGUAGUUAUUCCGCACACAAUGGCUGGCUGCUUAAAAUACAGCAGUAUGUAGGCACGAGGUCUCCCUGUCCCAGGCCUCCGUGCAUGUACAGAGCAAGGUCUUUUUUUACGUUUUUAACAUUUCUGAGCAAACAAGCUGCUAACGCAUUCAUGUUCCUAUGUGAGGGGAUAAGGGGAAGUUUAUAGGAGGAUUCCUCCACCUCUGACCUCCCUCAGGUUUCACAUCCACAUUCCUGCUCCCAGAUAGGUGGAAUGAAACACUGCUCAGUGCUUUUCAACUUCAUCUCCUUCUCUGUCUUUUCAAUCUCUCUCUCUUUCUCUUAGUUUCUGUCUUCUCUUUUUUUUUCUCCCACAGGCCAGUCUCACCUUCGUGAAGUCAUACAGGUGUGAAUGUCAAUAAGAGUAGCAGUCCCUUGGUCAAAAUAUUCUGCAGUUUUUGUUUUCUUUUUGUUUCGAUAAAUAAGUAACAGACCUGUUAGGAGAUCUCCAGUGCUAAGGCACCAUGUCAGUAAAACAAAGAAGAGACAGCUAGAAAGAAAGUCUGGGAGCUGUCCAUCAGGACGUGUCAGCUACAGGAGGUGUGUGUGUGUGUGUGUUCUGUCAGCUCCAGCACAGAGGACCUCCUAAACGGAGGACCAGGUCACCACUGAUCACAUGGCAGAGAAAAUGGUCCAAACAACCUUGACGGGAGUGGAAGAGGUCUCUCUUUUUAAUUAGAAACUUUAAUAUUUCAUCCUCUGCUAUGCCUCAUUAGCGCCCUUCUAUCACACUGUAUUCUCCCAGCUCCCAGACAGGCCCGCACUUUCACUGAGUUUCUGUCUCCUAGCAUUGCCAUUCCUCAGCUUGAAGAAAGGUGUGUAUAUAACCACAAGAGAGUGACAGUGGAGUGGUCUGCAUAUUGGUCAGCUCAGCAACGCCGGCAUCUGCUCAGCUCCCAUGCUCAGAAACAUCACCACGGCACCAAUGUGACCAUAACGUCUGAGAAACUGAAGCCUUGUGAUUCCUGAAGGGCCCUCACCCCACUUAGCCUCCAAACUCUCAUUCUCUCUUUGACUUCAGCGUGGACUUUAUUGGAUGGAAGUAUUGUAAAACUAUUUAGAUCUAGCUGAUGAUGAACGACAGACACAGACAGACACAUUUUUCUGGAUGUGAAGGUACACACCUGUUUCAGUCAAUACUUGGUAAACAGGAUAUGAUGGCAGAUACAUUUAGAAUGUGUUUAUGUGUCUCUUUAUUUGUGUAUUUCUGUUUGUAUCUGCAAUUGUGGUCAUGCCAUAGAUUUGUGUGCGUGCAUGUGUGUGUGUGUUAGAGGAUGGGGGGUUUACAUGUGUGUGACUAGUUGGUGGAGGGGGCAGUAUAAAAUAUGCAGGAUAAUUACCAGGAAGAGGUUGGGACGCAGAUGAAAGACCUUGUAUUGAUUCUUGAAAGGACCUGACAGCUCGCUUGAGCUUUUUUUUCUCUCCAUUGUUUGUUUUGCAUACAAAGGAUUACAUUUUCCUGUGAAUUUUGAUUGCGGCAGAAACAACAGAGCCUUUCUCCUCCAAGGAGGGGGCGAGGACAAGAGUACCUGGCAGAGGACAGAAUGAUUACUAGUGUACUGGCCUGAUAGAGUACUGGAAAGGACUAUGGAAGGAAAUCAACUUCUCAGACAGGCUUUUACUUGAUUUACCACUUAUCCACGGAGAGGUAUAGAAGGAAAUAACCAAAAUACAAUGUCCAAAUGACAAAUUAUUAAACUAAGAAAACAGUUUUCAUUACAUUGUUUUUAUAUAUUGGGUUUUUGAAGGGUUUUGCACACAAACAAUACUAAAAUUAUUGUAGUAUUUACCAUAGUAUCCUGUAGUAUUUUUGCGCACAUUAAUGUGUUAUUGAUUUAUAUUCUAUAACAUAAAAGUGUAUGUGUGUAUGGGGCUUCCUUGAGGAAACAUAUUGGCAUAGUAUUCAUGACCAUCUUAUGGAGUACACUCAGAAGUUCUGCUGGUGUUCUCUACUAUGUUUUGUAGUCUUUUACCCAUUUAUGCCUACCUCCUAUAGACUGUUACUGACUUGUUGUUGUGGAGGUUUUCACUAUUGAAAGUGUUCUUUGGUAAUCCACUCUAGUGGUCUUGGUCUACCAGGUCGUUUGCCACUGCUGAGCUUACCAGUGCUUUCUUUGUUCUGAAUCGAUCAAACAGUUGAUUGUGGCACACCUGAUGUUUUCUCUAUAUCUCUGAUGUAUGUCUUCAGAUUCAGCCUUAUAAUGGCUGGAUUUACUUGCACUGAAACUUCUUAUGUUAGUAAGCACAAGCAAAAUACUUCAAAUGUAAAGCCUUAUAUUGACACUUAUUUGGUCCAUAUGUUGUCAGACACCAGCACCAUGACUCAAAAUGUAAAUGCAAAGCAUGGUCUAGACUAGAAAUGUACAUCUCCCUUGAGCAUGCGCUAAUUCUGGAAACAAACACACCUUCCUUAUAAGAAAUCACUGUGAAGCCAAAUGAACAAAUACCAUAACAUGGGGUGACUAUGUAAAAUAAAAAAGUUGUAAUUACUAAGUGGUUGAUCUGAUAUGGAUGAAAAUAUCCUCAAAUAAAAGUUAAAAGUCAUUGUUUAAUUUCAAAUCCAAAUUACAA